CAGGAGCUUCUCCAGAAGAGCCGUUCGGAUCCACAAGUGUUUGAGUGCCUGAGGCGGAAGGUUGUUCAACUUGGACCGGCGACUUCGCCCAAUGCCCUGCGAGGAAUUGUUCUGUUUGCUGGAAGACACGUUAAGAAUGAGACGAUGUGGCUGCUGUCGGCGUGCACAAAUUUCCUCGUCACCGCCUCCUCCAUGAUCUGUUUCACCUGCGGGAGAGAAAGAUCAACGCUCAUCCAUGGCCCUCAAGCCACUGCGGCUCCAUCAAAGCAAGCUCUUCCAGCUUUCCAGUAUGCAGCGUUAAUAUCGUUUUCAAAAUGGAGAAACCAAUGAUGGACAUUACUCUGACCUUGACAAGCGCCUCAAGUUAUAGCCACAAUGUUUUCAUGCGGCAAGUCGGAUGAUUCUGCUGUGCAAAUCCUGACUAGAACCCUCAAAGCAUUCAUAAAGGUACAGUAUGUAUUCAACUUUAUAUUACUGUAUUUUGUUUCAUGCCACUCCAAGUUUCGUUUAGUUAGUUCCAGACCAAACAUUUAAAACAAUCAAAUCAUUUAUGGAAAAUGCUAUUGACAUGUUAACAGUUAGCAUAGCUAGUUGCUGAACCAUCAAAGCAAUUGAUAUUUGAAUACAGUGGAGCAACACAUGUAGACAGAUACUCACCGUUAUAAAUGAAACAUGACUAAUAGGGCACAUCAGAUGGAGCAGCACAAUGAAUCAUACUGCAGCAUUAAAUUAUGAUACUCAGACUGUUAUAUUCACA